GACGAACGCUGGCGGCGUGCCUAACACAUGCAAGUCGUACGAGGACGGUCUUCGGACCGAGCCGAGUGGCGGACGGGUGAGUAACACGUGACUAAUCUGCCUUUGAGAGGGGGAUAACCUGGGGAAACCCGGGCUAAUACCGCAUGACGUGUCGUGCUCGCAUGGGCGUGACACCAAAGGGAAGCCUCUACUUGUAAGCUUUCGCUCGAAGAGGAGGUCGCGGCGUAUCAGCUAGUUGGUAGGGUAACGGCCUACCAAGGCGACGACGCGUAGCGGGUCUGAGAGGACGACCCGUCACAUUGGGACUGAGAUACGGCCCAGACACCUACGGGAGGCUG
rnacentral:rRNA from 1 species